ACAACUUCCUUUUCAUUCUAAUCAAACCAGGAUGAAUCGCGAUGUAAGAAGUUUGAUUAGUAUACAUAAAGUAGUGAAGAAUCACCAAGAAGAUUAAGAUAUCUCAUAUGAGUUACGAUGAAAAAAUUAUCCCACUUUCAAAUCAGGUGAACCCAGUUUUCCUGUUUGGGAAUAUGACAACUUCUUUGUCAUUCUAAUUAGAUCAGUAUGAAUCGCGAGGUAAGAUGCUUGAUUUGAAUACAUAAAGUAGUGGAGAAUCACUAGGAAGUUGAAUAAAUCUCAUAGGAGUUAGGAUGAAGAAGUUAUCUCACUUUCAAAUCAGGUGAUCCUAGUUUUCCUGUUUGUGAAUAUGAUAACUUCUUUGUCUUUCUAAUCAGACAAGGAUGAAUUGCGAUGUGAGAAGAUGUAUUUGGAUACAUAGUGUAGUGGAGAAUCACCAGAAAGUUGAAUAAUUCUCAUACGAGUUAAGUAGAAGAAGUUUUACCACUUUCAAAUCAGGUGAUCCUAGUUUUCUUUUUUGAGAAUAUAACAAAUUCUUCGUCACUCUAAUCAGACCAGUAUGAAUCGCGAUGU